rnacentral:rRNA from 1 species
AUACGGAGGAUCCGAGCGUUAUCCGGAUUUAUUGGGUUUAAAGGGUGCGCAGGCGGCCAUUUAAGUCAGCGGUUAGAUCGUGGGGCUCAACCCCAUUCUGCCGUUGAUACUGGGUGGCUUGAUUGCGGUCGAGGUUGGCGGAAUUCGUUGUGUAGCGGUGAAAUGCAUAGAUAUGACGAAGAACACCGAUUGCGUAGGCAGCUGACCAGACCGCAAAUGACGCUCAUGCACGAAAGUGCGGGGAUCGAACAGGAUUAGAUACCCUGGUAGUCCGCACAGUAAACGAUGAAUACUUGUUUUCGGCGAUAUAAUGUCGGAGGCAAAGCGAAAGCGAUAAGUAUUCCACCUGGGGAGUACGCCGGCAACGGUGAAACUUAAAGGAAUUGACGGGG